AGCGGUGGAGCAUGUGGUUUAAUUCGAAGCAACGCGAAGAACCUUACCAGGUCUUGACAUCCUUUGACCACUCUAGAGAUAGAGCUUCCCCUUCGGGGGCAAAGUGACAGGUGGUGCAUGGUUGUCGUCAGCUCGUGUCGUGAGAUGUUGGGUUAAGUCCCGCAACGAGCGCAACCCUUAUUGUUAGUUGCCAUCAUUUAGUUGGGCACUCUAGCGAGACUGCCGGUGACAAACCGGAGGAAGGUGGGGAUGACGUCAAAUCAUCAUGCCCCUUAUGACCUGGGCUACACACGUGCUACAAUGGGAAGUACAACGAGUUGCGAAGUCGCGAGGCUAAGCUAAUCUCUUAAAGCUUCUCUCAGUUCGGAUUGUAGGCUGCAACUCGCCUACAUGAAGCCGGAAUCGCUAGUAAUCGCGGAUCAGCACGCCGCGGUGAAUACGUUCCCGGGCCUUGUACACACCGCCCGUCACACCACGAGAGUUUGUA
rnacentral:rRNA from 1 species